UACGUAGGUGGCAAGCGUUGUACGGAAUUACUGGGCGUAAAGGGAGCGUAGGCGGGCUUGCAAGUUGGGUGUGAAAUACCCGGGCUUAACCCGGGGGCUGCACCCAAAACUGCAGGUCUUGAGUGAUGUAGAGGCAGGCGGAAUUCCUAGUGUAGCGGUGAAAUGCGUAGAUAUUAGGAGGAACACCAGUGGCGAAGGCGGCCUGCUGGGCAUUAACUGACGCUGAGGCUCGAAAGCGUGGGGAGCAAACAGG
rnacentral:rRNA from 1 species